AAGACGACCAAUUAUAUUAGUUAGGUCAUAAAUUCCAUUGGCUAGGCUAUGAAUUGUGUCGGCCAAUCAUGAAUUUCAUCUUUUUGGAUCACGGUUACAAACACAAGUUUAAUGGAAAUAAAGUUGCAGAUCAAAUUGAAAAAAAUAUAAGCUGAUUGAUAAAAGAUAAAAUUAGUUAACUUGGAUGAUCAAUACGAGGCAAACCUAUUAGUUGAGAGAAGGAAAUUGCAAUCUUUCCCAGGAUUGUAGUUGGGGUUUCAAGUAGCACAUCUAUAUCAGCGGUGGCGGCGACACGCGGGGGAGGUAUUCCACGUGGCUAUUCAUUGGAUAUUAUGCCUGGCUCCUAUUGUGAUUUCCAACGAAUAUGAGGUCUUCUUCAAAGCUUCUUGAAAGUUUCCGUGUGCAAUCCUUCGAAACCCGUCAG
rnacentral:lncRNA from 1 species